rnacentral:rRNA from 1 species
UACAGGAGGUGCAAGCGUUGUUCGGAAUUAUUGGGCGUAAAGGGCGCGUAGGCGGUGCGGUAAGUCUGUAGUGAAAUCUCUGGGCUCAACUCAGAGUCUGCUGCAGAAACUGCCGUGCUUGAGUGUGGGAGAGGUGAGUGGAAUUCCCAGUGUAGCGGUGAAAUGCGCAGAUAUCAGGAAGAACACCCGUGGCGAAGGCGGCUCUCUGGGACGGUACUGACGCUGAGACGCGAAAGCGUGGGGAGCGAACAGG